AUCACUUCUCAGCCUUUUGGUUAAGAUCAAGUGUAGUAGGUGUUCUUAUCAGUUUAAGAUCUGAUAUGUUCUCUAAAUAAGGAUGUUAUAUCAAGCAAAUUUUUUUUAGAAUGGUUGGUUGGAAUAGGGGCUUGUUCUUUUGGCUACAGCCAUCAACAUGAUUUUAUAGUGCCUCCAGGAAUGGUACCAGGCCC